rnacentral:rRNA from 1 species
UACGUAGGGUGCAAGCGUUGUCCGGAAUUAUUGGGCGUAAAGAGCUCGUAGGCGGUCUGUCGCGUCUGCUGUGAAAACUCGGGGCUUAACCCCGGGCCUGCAGUGGGUACGGGCAGGCUAGAGGUAGGUAGGGGAGAAUGGAAUUCCCGGUGUAGCGGUGAAAUGCGCAGAUAUCGGGAGGAACACCGGUGGCGAAGGCGGUUCUCUGGGCCUUACCUGACGCUGAGGAGCGAAAGCGUGGGGAUCAAACAGG